CCUACGGGAGGCAGCAGUAGGGAAUCUUCCACAAUGGGCGAAAGCCUGAUGGAGCAACGCCGCGUGGGUGAAGAAGGUCUUCGGAUCGUAAAACCCUGUUGUUAGAGAAGAAAGUGCGUGAGAGUAACUGUUCACGUUUCGACGGUAUCUAACCAGAAAGCCACGGCUAACUACGUGCCAGCAGCCGCGGUAAUACGUAGGUGGCAAGCGUUAUCCGGAUUUAUUGGGCGUAAAGGGAACGCAGGCGGUCUUUUAAGUCUGAUGUGAAAGCCUUCGGCUUAACCGGAGUAGUGCAUUGGAAACUGGGAGACGUGAGUGCAGAAGAGGAGAGUGGAACUCCAUGUGUAGCGGUGAAAUGCGUAGAUAUAUGGAAGAACACCAGUGGCGAAGGCGGCUCACUGGACUGUAACUGACGUUGAGGCUCGAAAGCGUGGGGAGCAAACAGGAUGAGAUACCCGGGUAGUC
rnacentral:rRNA from 1 species